rnacentral:rRNA from 1 species
AUUUUUAUUUCAGUUGUUUAGAAUUUAUACUCGGGUAGCGUAAUAAACUGAUAUAACGUUGUGAUAAAUUAGUCGUUUUCUUUUAUAUCUGUUUAUUAUCAUAAAUUUCUUUUUAGUCACAUGGCAGGGAGGUCAUGUGAAAGAACAUAUGCUUUAUUAAUUAUUUGUUAAACAGGGUUAAAAAUCCCCUCUUAUUAGAGUUUUGUUACAAUUUACUUUUCUAGUGUGUUGCAUUGUAUGUAAAUGAUAAUUAUAUUUAAUAUUUUGUUAUAUAAAUAAUACAAUGAGUAAUAAAAUAAAUUUUAUUGUUUCUCGAACUUAUUCCGUCUGUUUAUUAAAAACAUUUCUAUAAGAAAAUUUUUAUAGUAGGGCCUGCUCGAUGUUUAAUUAUUAAUGGCCGCAGUAUUUUGACUGUGCGAAGGUAGCAUAAUUAAUUGCCCUUUAAUUGGGGGCUUGUUUGAAUGGCUUGACGUGGUUAUUGUGAACAUUAUAUUUGUUUUUGAAAUUAAUUUUGAGGGCACAGAAUCCUCUUUUUUUAAUUAGACGGAAAGACCCCGGGAUCUUUUAUUUUGCCUGGGGCAGGUUACAUUAUUUCAUAUUUGAUAUUAUGACCCUAGUUUGGGUUUAUUGGUUUAAGUUACCCCGGGGAUAACAGUGUAAUAAUUUAUUAGAGACCGAAUCGAUUAAAUUGUUUGCCACCUCGAUGUUGACUUAGGCAUAUAACUGGGCGCAGUAGUUUUGUUAUGUGGUCUGUUCGACCUUUAUGCUCC